AAAAGAAGGAUCAGCACCAUACAGGAUAAGUGCCAUAACGCUCAAUCCACUCAUUUGCGGGGACCAGAAAAUAGAUGCUUGAACAAUACAAACCUAAUGGGUCGAACAGGAAUUAUCUGUCACAGAGUUGCUUCCAACAUUUGGGUGCCAAGACGUAAACAAAUUAGGGUAUGAGAAGUAUGACUCAUCAUCCAUUGAAGG
rnacentral:misc_RNA from 1 species